UACGGAGGAUGCAAGCGUUAUCCGGAUUCAUUGGGUUUAAAGGGUGCGUAGGCGGGCUAUUAAGUCAGUGGUGAAAUCCUGCAGCUUAACUGCAGAACUGCCGUUGAUACUGAUAGUCUUGAGUUUGGUUAAGGUAGGCGGAAUGUGUAAUGUAGCGGUGAAAUGCUUAGAUAUUACACAGAACACCAAUUGUGUAGGCAGCUUACUGAGCCGACACUGACGCUGAGGCACGAAAGCGUGGGGAUCAAACAGGA
rnacentral:rRNA from 1 species